CCUACGGGUGGCAGCAGUGGGGAAUAUUGGACAAUGGGCGAAAGCCUGAUCCAGCCAUGCCGCGUGUGUGAAGAAGGCCUUCGGGUUGUAAAGCACUUUCAGUGGGGAAGAAAGCCUUGGGGCUAAUACCCUCGAGGAAGGACAUCACCCACAGAAGAAGCACCGGCUAACUCCGAGCCAGCAGCCGCGGUAAUACGGAGGGUGCGAGCGUUAAUCGGAAUUACUGGGCGUAAAGCGCGCGUAGGCGGUCUGAUAAGCCGGUUGUGAAAGCCCCGGGCUCAACCUGGGAACGGCAUCCGGAACUGUCAGGCUAGAGUGCAGGAGAGGAAGGUAGAAUUCCCGGUGUAGCAGUGAAAUGCGUAGAGAUCGGGAGGAAUACCAGUGGCGAAGGCGGCCUUCUGGACUGACACUGACGCUGAGGUGCGAAAGCGUGGGUAGCAAACAGGAUUAGAUACCCGAGUAGUC
rnacentral:rRNA from 1 species